rnacentral:rRNA from 1 species
CAAUAAGCGGAGGAAAAGAAACUAACAAGGAUUCCCCUAGUAACUGCGAGUGAAGCGGGAAAAGCUCAAAUUUAAAAUCUGGCAGUCUUUGGCUGUCCGAGUUGUAGUCUGGAGAAGCGUCUUCCGCGCUGGACCGUGUACAAGUCUCCUGGAACGGAGCGUCAUAGAGGGUGAGAAUCCCGUCUUUGACACGGACUACCAGUGCUUUGUGAUGCGCUCUCAAAGAGUCGAGUUGUUUGGGAAUGCAGCUCAAAAUGGGUGGUAAACUCCAUCUAAAGCUAAAUAUUGGCGAGAGACCGAUAGCGAACAAGUACCGUGAGGGAAAGAUGAAAAGCACUUUGGAAAGAGAGUUAAACAGUACGUGAAAUUGCUGAAAGGGAAACGCUUGAAGUCAGUCGCGUCCGCUAGAACUCAGCCUGGCUUUUGCUUGGUGCAUUUUCUAGUGGACGGGCCAGCAUCACUUUUGGCUGCGGGAUAAAGGUCGCAGGAAUGUGGCACCUUCGGGUGUGUUAUAGCCUGUGAUUGUAUACCGUGGCUGGGAGUGAGGACCGCAGCACGCCUUCAUGGCGGGGGUUCGCCCACCUUCGUGCUUAGGAUGCUGGCGUAAUGGCUUUAAACGACCCGUCUUGAAACACGGACCAAGGAGUCUAACAUGCCUGCGAGUGUUUGGGUGGAAAACCCGAGCGCGUAAUGAAAGUGAAAGUUGGGACCUCUGUCGUGGAGGGCACCGACGCCCGGACCAGACCUUCUGUGACGGAUCCGCGGUAGAGCAUGUAUGUUGGGACCCGAAAGAUGGUGAACUAUGCCUGAAUAGGGUGAAGCCAGAGGAAACUCUGGUGGAGGCUCGUAGCGAUUCUGACGUGCAAAUCGAUCGUCAAAUUUGGGUAUAGGGGCGAAAGACUAAUCGAACCAUA